AGCGAACGCUGGCGGCAGGCCUAACACAUGCAAGUCGAACGAACUCUUCGGAGUUAGUGGCGGACGGGUGUGUAACACGUGGGAACGUGCCUUUAGGUUCGGAAUAACUCAGGGAAACUUGUGCUAAUACCGAAUGUGCCCUUCGGGGGAAAGAUUUAUCGCCUUUAGAGCGGCCCGCGUCUGAUUAGCUAGUUGGUGAGGUAAAGGCUCACCAAGGCGACGAUCAGUAGCUGGUCUGAGAGGAUGAUCAGCCACAUUGGGACUGAGACACGGCCCAAACUCCUACGGGAGGCAGCAGUGGGGAAUCUUGCGCAAUGGGCGAAAGCCUGACGCAGCCAUGCCGCGUGAAUGAUGAAGGUCUUAGGAUUGUAAAAUUCUUUCACCGGGGACGAUAAUGACGGUACCCGGAGAAGAAGCCCCGGCUAACUUCGUG
rnacentral:rRNA from 1 species